ACUGAGGAGUCCCAUAAUAGGACGAAACGGCCGUCC
rfam:Schistosoma mansoni, Puerto Rico, WGS project CABG01000000 data, contig: 0183